rnacentral:rRNA from 1 species
CCUACGGGGGGCAGCAGUGGGGGAUAUUGCACAAUGGGGGGAACCCUGAUGCAGCGACGCCGCGUGGGUGAAGGAGUGCUUCGGCAUGUAAAGCCCUAUCGGCAGGGAAGAAGCAAGACGGUACCGGACGAAGAAGCCCCGGCUAACUACGUGCCAGCAGCCGCUGUAAGACGUAGGGGGCGAGCGUGAGCCGGAUUCACUGGGUGUAAAGGGAGCGUAGACGGCCAUGCAAGCCAGGGGUGAAAGCCCGGGGCCCAACCCCGGGACUGCCCUUGCAACUGUGCGGCUAGAGUGCGGGAGGGGCAGGCGGAAUUCCUGGUGUAGCGGUGAAAUGCGUAGAUAUCAGGAGGAACACCGGCGGCGAAGGCGGCCUGCUGGACCGCGACUGACGUUGAGGCUCGAAAGCGUGGGGAGCGAACAGGAUUAGAUACCCCAGUAGUC